rnacentral:rRNA from 1 species
AGAGUUUGAUCGUGGCUCAGGAUGAACGCUGGCGGCGUGCCUAAUACAUGCAAGUCGAACGAACUUCCGUUAAUUGAUUAUGAGGUGCUUGCACUGAAUGAGAUUUUAAUAUGAAGUGAGUGGCGGACGGGUGAGUAACACGUGGGUAACCUGCCCAGAAGCAGGGGAUAACACCUGGAAACAGAUGCUAAUACCGUAUAACAGAGAAAACCGCCUGGUUUUCUUUUAAAAGAUGGCUCUGCUAUCACUUCUGGAUGGACCCGCGGCGCAUUAGCUAGUUGGUGAGGUAACGGCUCACCAAGGCGAUGAUGCGUAGCCGAUCUGAGAGGGUAAUCGGCCACAUUGGGACUGAGACACGGCCCAGACUCCUACGGGAGGCAGCAGUAAGGAAUCUUCCACAAUGGACGCAAGUCUGAUGGAGCAACGCCGCGUGAGUGAAGAAGGGUUUCGGCUCGUAAAGCUCUGUUGUUAAAGAAGAACGUGGGUGAGAGUAACUGUUCACCCAGUGACGGUAUUUAACCAGAAAGCCACGGCUAACUACGUGCCAGCAGCCGCGGUAAU